rnacentral:rRNA from 1 species
AGUGAACGCUGGCGGUAGGCCUAACACAUGCAAGUCGAACGGCAGCACAGGAGAGCUUGCUCUCUGGGUGGCGAGUGGCGGACGGGUGAGGAAUACAUCGGAAUCUACCUUGUCGUGGGGGAUAACGUAGGGAAACUUACGCUAAUACCGCAUACGACCUUCGGGUGAAAGUGGGGGACCGCACGGCCCCACGCGAUUAGAUGAGCCGAUGUCGGAUUAGCUAGUUGGCGGGGUAAAAGGCCACCAAGGCGACGAACCGUAGCUGGUCUGAGGGGAUGAUCAGCCACACUGGAACUGAGACACGGUCCAGACUCCUACGGGAGGCAGCAGUGGGGAAUAUUGGACAAUGGGCGCAAGCCUGAUCCAGCCAUACCGCGUGGGUGAAGAAGGCCUUCGGGUUGUAAAGCCCUUUUGUUGGGAAAGAAAUCUUGCCGGUUAAUACCUGGCGAGGAUGACGGUACCCAAAGAAUAAGCACCGGCUAACUUCGUGCCAGCCGCCGCCGUAAUAC